GGGACUGCCUCCUGCUGAAGGCUGUAUGUGAAUGCAGAGGACUUGUGCCCCUAUUAUCACACCAGUAGGGAGGAGUGGCUUCAGUGGCUCACCUGUUCAGAUGUAAUGUUUCCCCUUACAGAUAGCAGCCCAGGUCGGACAUGCAGCUGUUGGCCUGUACCAGUUAAUACAGGAAAAAUCCACUGGGAGGGAGAUGAUCUCUCAGUGGGAUGAAUAUGGUGCGAAGAAGGUUGUAGUUCAAGGAUCAAACACUGCCCACCUGAUGGAUUUGCAAGCAUUGGCUUUGAGCCUGGAGCUGCCAACAUACUUGGUGCAGGAUGCAGGGAGAACACAGGUUCCAGCUGGAUCUUACACUGUCCUUGCCAUUAUCGGAGAAGAAGAAAUAGUGAAUCAGGUGACUGGGAAGCUGAGGCUGUUGAACUGAGAGCAGCACCAAAGCCUAUUAUUGUGCGCUGUACCUGACUACACGCCGUGGAAUUUGCAAGCCUAUAUGCAACAUGGAGAAAGAAGCACCUGUUAACAGCAUCUCAGGUCCUUCAUCGAGUCAUGGGAACCAGACAGCUACUCCCCUUUCUGCCUGAUGAAGCUGCAGGGGAGGCAUGAAGCUAGGGUGAGGAGGCAGCACUCUUCCUUCCAUUUGAGGGAGUCUGUCUUGCUAGCCCAGGACUGUGAGAGGUAGUAUUGCUGCGCUACUGCAGGUGGAUUAGAGAGACUGCUGCACAUUUCUACCUCUAGCUUCCCUAGAAAUUGUCUUGGAAAAACAAGGCUUGUAUUUUCUGAAACGUGCUUAUGAACAAGAUGAAAUUCUGACAGAUACCUUGCCUUUCCUUGAAAUCUCUGUGGUGAGCUUGUGGCUCUGUUCAUUCCCACUGUUCCCACCCUGAAAUUCUAGAGUUUUAUUGAAAUCCAGGGAAUGUGCACUGCCAUGCUUAGGAUGGGAGGGCUUUUAAUUUUUAUGGAGGUAGGUGUAUGUCCUUUAAUCUCUUGCAUAAAAAUGGGUUUCAAAUAUUUGAUGAUUAAAUGACUAAGAACAUACCCAGUUGUACUAGGUAGGUUUAUGGGGGUCAGCUAGAUCUGAAGGGAGAACAAACCCUCCUGUUUCAGAGCUGGGAAGAAAUUUCCCUUAUGGGCAGGUUAUUCCAUAAUUGCCUUCUACAGGAAUUUCUUGCACUUACGUAUCUGAGACUGGCCAUUGUCAGAGAGGAUAUAGGACUAAAUAGACCCUUGGUUUGGCAAUUCCUAUCCUUCUAAAGCCUAUUCUGGCAGUAUAAACUGAACAGUGGCACAGAUGCAGGCUUGAUCUUUUUAUGAAAUGUACUGUUGAAAUAAUUACCUCUAGGUGAGGAAAAUGGGCAUUAAAUUAGGAUUAAUAUUUCACAUUCAAGAGGGGAGGGAGGUAAUUUUUUCCCCCAGCCCUAACAUCCUGCUUUUAGGUCUUGGUUGUGGUUUUGUAGCACAUGUGCUUAGGUGGAAUUUCUAGUGAACUUUAUUCAAUCCAGUUGGUAGAAAAUAGCCCUGGGUGUUUUGGGCGACAGUAAUGGCUUUUAGUUAUGUGUAGGCUUGGCUGAUUGUCUGUCUGUAGGUACUGGCCCAUGGCGACAGCAUCCAAGUUUGCAUGGUUCAAUAAUGGUUUUUUUUCCUCCUCCCAUCAUAACACCUCCAUUCCCAGUACACCGUACGCACAGUUCCGGAAUUGGAAGAGGUGAAACUGGCUGUCCCAUGAAGUGGAUCUUAAUACCUGUGGCCUGAACUUCCAAGACACCUUGUUUUUAAAUGUUACAUGUACUGAGGGGGGAAAGAAGCAGAGGCAUUGCUUUGUCAUUAGGCUUGUGACCAGAACCUGCUCAGACCUCCUGUAUUCCUAUGGAGAGGCUUUUGGCUUACAGGAUAUGGUCUCCACAUUAAACUUGGAUGCUUGUUAAUAAGCAA